rnacentral:rRNA from 2 species
UGCAGUCGAACGAACUCUUCGGAGUUAGUGGCAGACGGGUGAGUAACGCGUGGGAACCUACCUUUAGGUACGGAACAACAGUUGGAAACGACUGCUAAUACCGUAUGUGCCCUAUGGGGGAAAGAUUUAUCGCCUAAGGAUGGGCCCGCGUUGGAUUAGCUAGUUGGUGGGGUAAUGGCCUACCAAGGCGACGAUCCAUAGCUGGUCUGAGAGGAUGAUCAGCCACACUGGGACUGAGACACGGCCCAGACUCCUACGGGAGGCAGCAGUGGGGAAUAUUGGACAAUGGGGGCAACCCUGAUCCAGCCAUGCCGCGUGAGUGAUGAAGGCCCUAGGGUUGUAAAGCUCUUUCAGCGAGGAGGAUAAUGACGUUACUCGCAGAAGAAGCCCCGGCUAACUUCGUGCCAGCUGCC